GGAGAAUUCUAGUAGAAGAGAGCAUCAUCAACACCACAGGGCUAAUGAAAACUUCUAGGGAAGUGUAACCCAGGUGGGUUUGAUAUUCAUAAGAUUAAAGCGUAUGUCUACCAUCAAAUGACCACCACAUUAAAGCUGUUUUAAUGAGGACUUGGAAAGAUAAUGAAUGAACGUCGCUAAUUCACCACAGAGGAGACAGGCUGACCUCCUUCCGACCUCUUUGCCGCCAGCAACCUUGCUUUUCCAGAACAUUCCAUUGAGUGCCAGCUGUCAACUCAAACUAAAUUUCCUGUCAUGAUCUUACUUUACCUGAGCCAUUCCGUGUCAUAGAGAUCAACUGUCUCCUGAAUGAACUACUCAAGAACUUAUAAACUACUCAAAAGAGGUCUGAAGCUCCAAGACAUGUCCAUAGUAUACUUUCCCAUUGGGUUUGAGAAAAAGUGGGACUCCU